rnacentral:rRNA from 1 species
CCUACGGGCGGCAGCAGUGAGGAAUAUUGGUCAAUGGGCGGAAGCCUGAACCAGCCAAGUCGCGUGAGGGAAUAAGGCCCUACGGGUCGUAAACCUCUUUUGCCGGGGAGCAAGGGCCGGGCCGUGUCCCGGCCCGGAGAAUACCCGGAGAAAAAGCAUCGGCUAACUCGGUGCCCACAGCCGCGGUAAUGCGGAGGAUGCGAGGGUUAUCCGGAUUGAUUGGGUUAAAAGGGGGCGUAGGCGGGCUUUUAGGUCAGGGGUAAAUAUUCGGGGUUCAACCCCGUCCGGCCUUUGAAACUGGGGGCCUUGAGUGGGCGAGAAGAAGGCGGAAUGCGUGGUGUAGCGGUGAAAUGCAUAGAUAUCACGCAGAACCCUGAUUGCGAAGGCAGCCUUCCGGCGCCCUACUGACGCUGAUGCACGAAAGUGCGGGGAGCGAACAGGAUUAGAUACCCCAGUAGUC